GACGAACUGCCCUAACGUUGUUCGGAAUCACUGGGCUUAAAGGGCGCGUAGGCGGUCCGCCAAGUCAGGGGUGAAAUCCUGCAGCUUAACUGUAGAAGUGCCUCUGAUACUGGCGGUCUUGAGGGAAAUAGGGGUGUGCGGAACUUCCAGUGGAGUGGUGAAAUGCGUUGAUAUUGGAAGGAACGCCGGAGGCGAAAGCGGCGCACUGGAUUUCUUCUGACGCUGAGGCGCGAAAGCUAGGGGAGCAAACGGG
rnacentral:rRNA from 1 species